GUCCUCGUCCCCGUAUUCCGGGGCCAACUACACGUGCCCCGCUCGCCCACUCGCAUGCUCCGCAGGGCUAUUCCUCGUCCCCGUAUCCGUAUUCCGGGGCUAUCUACACUUGCCCCGCUCGCCCACUCGCAUGCUCCGCAGGGCUAUGUAUAGUCAUGUAGCACCAGUCCUCGUCCCCGUAUCCGUAUUCCGGGGCCGUCUACACUUGCCCCGCUCGCCCACUCGCAUGCGCCGCAGGGCUAUGUAUAGUGAUGUAACACCAGCUCUGCUGUCUCGAAAGUCUAGUAAUAU